rnacentral:rRNA from 1 species
GAUGGACGCUGGCGGCGUGCCUGAUACAUGCAAGUCGAGCGAAUGGAUUAAGAGCUUGCUCUUAUGAAGUUAGCGGCGGACGGGUGAGUAACACGUGGGUAACCUGCCCAUAAGACUGGGAUAACUCCGGGAAACCGGGGCUAAUACCGGAUAACAUUUUGAACCGCAUGGUUCGAAAUUGAAAGGCGGCUUCGGCUGUCACUUAUGGAUGGACCCGCGUCGCAUUAGCUAGUUGGUGAGGUAACGGCUCACCAAGGCAACGAUGCGUAGCCGACCUGAGAGGGUGAUCGGACACACUGGGACUGAGACACGGCCCAGACUCCUACGGGAGGCAGCAGUAGGGAAUCUUCCGCAAUGGACGAAAGUCUGACGGAGCAACGCCGCGUGAGUGAUGAAGGCUUUCGGGUCGUAAAACUCUGUUGUUAGGGAAGAACAAGUGCUAGUUGAAUAAGCUGACACCUUGACGGUACCUAACCAGAAAGCCACGGCUAACUACGUGCCAGCCGCCGCAGUAA